GAUGAACGCUGACAGAAUGCUUAACACAUGCAAGUCAACUUGAAUUUGGGUUUUUAACUUCGGUUUGGGUGGCGGACGGGUGAGUAACGCGUAAAGAACUUGCCUCACAGCUAGGGACAGCAUUUGGGAACGAAUGCUAAUACCUAAUAUUAUGAUAAUAGGGCAUCCUAUAAUUAUGAAAGCUAUAAGCGCUGUGAGAGAGCUUUGCGUCCCAUUAGCUAGUUGGAGAGGUAACGGCUCACCAAGGCGAUGAUGGGUAGCCGGCCUGAGAGGGUGAUCGGCCACAAGGGGACUGAGACACGGCCCUUACUCCUACGGGAGGCAGCAGUGGGGAAUAUUGGACAAUGGACCGAGAGUCUGAUCCAGCAAUUCUGUGUGCACGAUGAAGUUUUUCGGAAUGUAAAGUGCUUUCAGUUGGGAAGAAACAAAUGACGGUACCAACAGAAGAAGUGACGGCUAAAUACGUG
rnacentral:rRNA from 1 species